UACGUAGGGGGCAAGCGUUGUCCGGAAUCAUUGGGCGUAAAGAGCGUGUAGGCGGCUCGGUAAGUCCGCUCUGAAAGCCCGGGGCUCAACCCCGGGAGGCGGGCGGAUACUGUCGGGCUAGAGUCCGGAAGAGGCGAGUGGAAUUCCUGGUGUAGCGGUGAAAUGCGCAGAUAUCAGGAGGAAUACCAAUGGCGAAGGCAGCUCGCUGGGACGGUACUGACGCUGAGACGCGAAAGCGUGGGGAGCAAACAGG
rnacentral:rRNA from 1 species